rnacentral:rRNA from 1 species
CCCAGCAGUUCUCACCGGGUUUCCCACUGAAGCUAAGCAGGGUUGAGCCUGGCCCGUACCUGGAUUGGAGACCUCCUGGGGAUAGCUAAGGUUGCUGCUGGUG